UUAAGCGACUAAGCGUACACGGUGGAUGCCCUGGCAGUCAGAGGCGAUGAAGGACGUGCUAAUCUGCGAUAAGCGUCGGUAAGGUGAUAUGAACCGUUAUAACCGGCGAUUUCCGAAUGGGGAAACCCAGUGUGAUUCGUCACACUAUCAUUAACUGAAUCCAUAGGUUAAUGAGGCGAACCGGGGGAACUGAAACAUCUAAGUACCCCGAGGAAAAGAAAUCAACCGAGAUUCCCCCAGUAGCGGCGAGCGAACGGGGAGCAGCCCAGAGCCUGAAUCAGUGUGUGUGUUAGUGGAAGCGUCUGGAAAGGCGCGCGAUACAGGGUGACAGCCCCGUACACAAAAAUGCACAUACUGUGAGCUCGAUGAGUAGGGCGGGACACGUGGUAUCCUGUCUGAAUAUGGGGGGACCAUCCUCCAAGGCUAAAUACUCCUGACUGACCGAUAGUGAACCAGUACCGUGAGGGAAAGGCGAAAAGAACCCCGGCGAGGGGAGUGAAAAAGAACCUGAAACCGUGUACGUACAAGCAGUGGGAGCCUCUUUAUGGGGUGACUGCGUACCUUUUGUAUAAUGGGUCAGCGACUUAUAUUCUGUAGCAAGGUUAACCGAAUAGGGGAGCCGAAGGGAAACCGAGUCUUAACUGGGCGUUAAGUUGCAGGGUAUAGACCCGAAACCCGGUGAUCUAGCCAUGGGCAGGUUGAAGGUUGGGUAACACUAACUGGAGGACCGAACCGACUAAUGUUGAAAAAUUAGCGGAUGACUUGUGGCUGGGGGUGAAAGGCCAAUCAAACCGGGAGAUAGCUGGUUCUCCCCGAAAGCUAUUUAGGUAGCGCCUCGUGAAUUCAUCUCCGGGGGUAGAGCACUGUUUCGGCAAGGGGGUCAUCCCGACUUACCAACCCGAUGCAAACUGCGAAUACCGGAGAAUGUUAUCACGGGAGACACACGGCGGGUGCUAACGUCCGUCGUGAAGAGGGAAACAACCCAGACCGCCAGCUAAGGUCCCAAAGUCAUGGUUAAGUGGGAAACGAUGUGGGAAGGCCCAGACAGCCAGGAUGUUGGCUUAGAAGCAGCCAUCAUUUAAAGAAAGCGUAAUAGCUCACUGGUCGAGUCGGCCUGCGCGGAAGAUGUAACGGGGCUAAACCAUGCACCGAAGCUGCGGCAGCGACACUAUGUGUUGUUGGGUAGGGGAGCGUUCUGUAAGCCUGUGAAGGUGUACUGUGAGGUAUGCUGGAGGUAUCAGAAGUGCGAAUGCUGACAUAAGUAACGAUAAAGCGGGUGAAAAGCCCGCUCGCCGGAAGACCAAGGGUUCCUGUCCAACGUUAAUCGGGGCAGGGUGAGUCGACCCCUAAGGCGAGGCCGAAAGGCGUAGUCGAUGGGAAACAGGUUAAUAUUCCUGUACUUGGUGUUACUGCGAAGGGGGGACGGAGAAGGCUAUGUUGGCCGGGCGACGGUUGUCCCGGUUUAAGCGUGUAGGCUGGUUUUCCAGGCAAAUCCGGAAAAUCAAGGCUGAGGCGUGAUGACGAGGCACUACGGUGCUGAAGCAACAAAUGCCCUGCUUCCAGGAAAAGCCUCUAAGCAUCAGGUAACAUCAAAUCGUACCCCAAACCGACACAGGUGGUCAGGUAGAGAAUACCAAGGCGCUUGAGAGAACUCGGGUGAAGGAACUAGGCAAAAUGGUGCCGUAACUUCGGGAGAAGGCACGCUGAUAUGUAGGUGAAGUCCCUCGCGGAUGGAGCUGAAAUCAGUCGAAGAUACCAGCUGGCUGCAACUGUUUAUUAAAAACACAGCACUGUGCAAACACGAAAGUGGACGUAUACGGUGUGACGCCUGCCCGGUGCCGGAAGGUUAAUUGAUGGGGUCAGCGCAAGCGAAGCUCUUGAUCGAAGCCCCGGUAAACGGCGGCCGUAACUAUAACGGUCCUAAGGUAGCGAAAUUCCUUGUCGGGUAAGUUCCGACCUGCACGAAUGGCGUAAUGAUGGCCAGGCUGUCUCCACCCGAGACUCAGUGAAAUUGAACUCGCUGUGAAGAUGCAGUGUACCCGCGGCAAGACGGAAAGACCCCGUGAACCUUUACUAUAGCUUGACACUGAACAUUGAGCCUUGAUGUGUAGGAUAGGUGGGAGGCUUUGAAGUGUGGACGCCAGUCUGCAUGGAGCCGACCUUGAAAUACCACCCUUUAAUGUUUGAUGUUCUAACGUUGGCCCGUGAUCCGGGUUGCGGACAGUGUCUGGUGGGUAGUUUGACUGGGGCGGUCUCCUCCUAAAGAGUAACGGAGGAGCACGAAGGUUGGCUAAUCCUGGUCGGACAUCAGGAGGUUAGUGCAAUGGCAUAAGCCAGCUUGACUGCGAGCGUGACGGCGCGAGCAGGUGCGAAAGCAGGUCAUAGUGAUCCGGUGGUUCUGAAUGGAAGGGCCAUCGCUCAACGGAUAAAAGGUACUCCGGGGAUAACAGGCUGAUACCGCCCAAGAGUUCAUAUCGACGGCGGUGUUUGGCACCUCGAUGUCGGCUCAUCACAUCCUGGGGCUGAAGUAGGUCCCAAGGGUAUGGCUGUUCGCCAUUUAAAGUGGUACGCGAGCUGGGUUUAGAACGUCGUGAGACAGUUCGGUCCCUAUCUGCCGUGGGCGCUGGAGAACUGAGGGGGGCUGCUCCUAGUACGAGAGGACCGGAGUGGACGCAUCACUGGUGUUCGGGUUGUCAUGCCAAUGGCACUGCCCGGUAGCUAAAUGCGGAAGAGAUAAGUGCUGAAAGCAUCUAAGCACGAAACUUGCCCCGAGAUGAGUUCUCCCUGACUCCCUGAGAGUCCUGAAGGAACGUUGAAGACGACGACGUUGAUAGGCCGGGUGUGUAAGCGCAGCGAUGCGUUGAGCUAACCGGUACUAAUGAACCGUGAGGCUUAACCU
rnacentral:rRNA from 1 species